rnacentral:rRNA from 1 species
GACGUAGGGCGCGAGCGUUGUCCGGAUUUAGUUGGGCGUAAAGAGCUCGUAGGCGGCUUGUCGCGUCGGAAUCGUGAAAACCCCACAGCUCAACUGUGGGCUUGCAUUGAUAACGGGCAGGGCUCGAGUUCGGAUAGGGGAGACUGGAAUUCCUGGUGUAGCGGUGAAAUGCGCAGACUAUCAGGAGGAACACCGGUGGGCGAAGGCGGGGUCUCUGGGCCGAUACUGACGCUGGAGGAGCGAAAGCGUGGGGAGCGAAC